UACAGAGGUCUCAAGCGUUGUUCGGAUUCAUUGGGCGUAAAGGGUGCGUAGGUGGCGCUGUAAGUCGGGUGUGAAAUUUCGGAGCUUAACUCCGAAACUGCAUUCGAUACUGCGGUGCUUGAGGACUGGAGAGGAGACUGGAAUUCAUGGUGUAGCAGUGAAAUGCGUAGAGAUCAUGAGGAAGACCAGUGGCGAAGGCGGGUCUCUGGAACGCAACUGACGCUGAGAUGCGAAAGCGUGGGGAGCAAACAGG
rnacentral:rRNA from 1 species